UAGAUACCCUGGUAGUCCACGCCCUAAACGAUGACAAUUAGCUGUUGGGCUUUGAAAGGCUUAGUAGCGAAGCUAACGCGAGAAAUUGUCCGCCUGGGGAGUACGGUCGCAAGAUUAAAACUCAAAGGAAUUGACGGGGACCCGCACAAGCGGUGGAUGAUGUGGAUUAAUUCGAUGCAACGCGAAGAACCUUACCUGGUCUUGGCAUGUACGGAAUUUUUUAGAGAUAAAAAAGUGCCUUCGGGAACCG
rnacentral:rRNA from 1 species